rnacentral:rRNA from 1 species
GAUGAACGCUAGCUACAGGCUUAACACAUGCAAGUCGAGGGGAAACGGCAUCGAAAGCUUGCUUUUGAUGGGCGUCGACCGGCGCACGGGUGAGUAACGCGUAUCCAACCUGCCCAUCACUUGGGAAUAACCUUGCGAAAGUAAGACUAAUGCCCAAUGACAUCCCACGAAGGCAUCCGAAUGGGAUUAAAGAUUUAUCGGUGAUGGAUGGGGAUGCGUCUGAUUAGCUUGUUGGCGGGGUGACGGCCCACCAAGGCAACGAUCAGUAGGGGCUCUGAGAGGAAGGUCCCCCACAUUGGAACUGAGACACGGUCCAAACUCCUACGGGAGGCAGCAGUGAGGAAUAUUGGUCAAUGGGCGAGAGCCUGAACCAGCCAAGUAGCGUGCAGGAUGACGGCCCUAUGGGUUGUAAACUGCUUUUAUAAGGGAAUAAAGUGGGUCACGUGUGACUUUUUGCAUGUACCUGAUGAAUAAGGACCGGCUAAUUCCGUG